rnacentral:lncRNA from 1 species
AUUUUGCACAGACAUGUAAGCAACCUACUGAGAAAUUUAUUAUUUUUUUGGUUCUCUCUUAGGCUACUGGUGAAAUAGUGUACUGUAGUCACAAUUGAUGGGAAAAUGACCUGCUGACCCUUCAGCUAAAAGGAUUGGGAGCCCAGUUCAUCUCAGUGAAGUCUGGGAGAGGUGGGACUUGAGAUGGGAGAGCCAUGAGACUUGAAAUCAUGAAGGGAAUAAGGAAUGGCUAUAUUGAACGCUUUGGAAACAAAAGAGAGGCUUAAGUGUGCAGAUAUGUAGAAGCUGUCAGAAAAUAGAGGCUCCUGGAGUUCCCGUCGUGGCUCAGUGGUUAACGAAUCCUACUAGGAACCAUGAGGUUGCAAGUUCAAUCACUGGCCUUGCUCAGUGGGUUAAGGAUCCGUCGUUGCUGUGAGCUGUGGUGUGGGUCACAGACGUGGCUCAGAUCUGGCGUUGCUGCGGCUGUGGGGUAGCCCAGAGUCUACAGCUCCGACUGGACCCCUAGCCUGGGAACCUCCAUAUGCUGCAGGUGCGGCCCUAGAAAAGACAAAAAAACAAAACAAAAAUGGAGGCUCCUUUUAAAAUAUUAAGAUUCCAUGUAAGGAGUUUCGUAGAGGGUCAGGAAAGCCCAGGACUGACUUCAGGCACUAAAAUAUAUCUCUGGAACCUAGGCCAAAGUUUUUCCCAGGAGGUGGUUUCAGCCUCUUCAUUACCAGUUAGCUUUGCAAACUCUUACUUGGUUUUCAGUGGCAUCACCCUUAAAAGCAGUCUCUGUAACCCAGUAGGCAGAAAAAAUCAAUGGUAUCCAUGGGGUAUUAGUUCCAGGACUGUACUGUGGAUGCUUCGGUCUUACAGUACCCACGGAUUCUACAGAUUUCAGUUUCAACUGCAGUUUUUAAACAUUGUACCUAACAAUGGCUGAUUGGACUCGACCGAUGGAACCUGUGGAUAUGAGGGCUGACUGUGUAGAGUUUAAUUCUUCAUCUUCUUCUUUUUUUUGCUUUUUAGAGCUGCACCUGUGGCAAAGGGAUGUUCCCAGGCUAGGGGUCCAAUUGGAGAUGUAGCUUUAGGCCUACACCACAGCCACAGCAACACCAGAUCUGAGCCUUGUUUGCCACCUACACCAUACCUCAUGGCCACGCCAGAUCCUUAACCCACCAAGCGAGGCCAGGGAUGGAACCCACGUCCUCAUGGAUGCUAGUUGGGUUCGUUACCACUGAGCCACAAUAGGAACUUCCCAGAGUUUCAUUCAUAAGUUUGCUUUGCCAGGGAGGAAACCUGUCAAGGUGAAAGCAAAGUGGAACUUGGGUAAGAGGAGAAUGAGUAAACUGGGGACCAUACCGAAUCACAUUUUUGGAGAAUAUGCCAACAGUUGACAGUAGAACCUGCUUUAAACAUUUUGGUUUGUGGUUUUUCGUUUGGGAGAAAAGAUAUAGAAAAACAACAUAGGUUUAGGUUCACAAGCUUGGCUGCAUAUGGGAGACAAACAUGGAAGGAAAGUAAGUCAUGCAGCCCAGGUGUGUACUUUGGAAAGUACAUGCCCAGUACAUGAGACAGCCCCAGCCAGUUAUCCCCAUGCAGGAGAGCUGGCCUCAGAGGCCAAUUCUUGGACCUUCCUAGAGAAAAUGGAAAUAUGGAAUGUUAAGUGACUCUUCCCACCUUUAAAAUAUUAGCAACAAUUUCCUUUUUUUUCCCCCAAGACCAUGGUCUUUGCACUGAGUCAAAGAGUGAGAAAAAUGUGUAACCUGGGAAUUAGGUGGUUCAGCUGCAUGUACUCCUGCCUCUGGUGCUCGAGAGGCACAGUACCCCAUUUGCGGUGCACGCUCUACACGUUUUCAUUGAUAGAUAAAAUAUAUCAUAUAUGUAUAAAAUAAACAGGUGGGGUCAACCUCUUGGUUUUCAGUCUUUUCCUGUUUUGGAUGGAGGAGGGAGUCAGCCUUACCUCACUUCAACUUAGAAGAUCGAAUCAAGUCAGAAUCUGUGCUGUCUUCUUUGUAGGGCCCACCUUUCUAGCCCUUUCUCUUUGCUUUCACAUCCUCUCCAAACACGUGAGGUGCAUUUUCACACUAAAGCUCCAUGGUUUGCCUAGAAUUUAAGAAAGUUUAAGAAAUAAAGUGUGUACUGUUAUGCUUAAAAACAGGACCAAGUCAAUUUAGCCUGUAUUUUCUUUCCUCUGUCCUAGUUAGUGCAUUUUUACUUAAUUUUGACAGACUCAUUUCUAUAACAAGAAGUGAUCCAGAUUAUGUCUUAAAUUGCAAUAAGCCUCUCAGUCUUAAAAGGAAAUGUUACUUCUAGAACAUAAAGUUAUUUUCUUUUCCUUUUUUUUCAUUCGUUUUAGGACCACACCUGUGGCAUAUGGAAGUUCCAGGCUAGGGGUCAAAUUGGAGCUAUACCUGCCGGCAUACACCACAGCCAGAGCAACGCCAGAUCCAAGUUACUUCUGUGACCUACACCACAGCUUGUGGCAAUGCCGGAUCCUAAACCCACUGAGUGAGGCCAGGAAUCGGACCCACAUUCUCACAGAGACAACUUUGGGUCCUUUACCUGCUGAGCCACAAUGCAAGCUCCCAUUUUCUUUGUAAAAGUUGAUGUAACACUGCCCCCGUGACUGUGGGCUUUUCACUGUUUCAAGUUAAUGAAAGGAUUUUUCUGAACUUAAAUUCUGCUGAUAUUUGCUGUUUUAUUUUUUUAAAUAUCAAAGUUUUACUGUCUUUAGCAAAAUAUUUUUGUCGUGGUUAUCUGAAAUCAGUUCCAAAAAAAAUUAAGCUCAGAUGAGGGGGGGGGCAUUUACCCUACAGGUCCAGGGGAGUCUUAAAACUUUAGGGAAGGAUGUGCUUGGUCCUCUGGGGGACUAUGAUAUUGGACAGGAAAGCCCUUGAACCUCCUGGGCAGAAACUGCUGCCCUUUCUGUCCUCUGGGGCUCUUUGCCCUCCUGGGUCUGAUUCAUUGAGCAUCAUGUUCAUUCAUCAGUCUUUGCUGCCUGGCUUUUUCCUAGAGACCGAGAGCACAUGGGGGAGCUUGCAGCCUAGACCAGGGUAGACCCUCUUCAUCCCAGAUUCUGGUUCUCAGAAGAACAAAUUAAAUGUCUUAGUCUGGGAGUUUCCAUUGUUGCUCAGUGGUAAAGAAACUGACUGGUAUCCAUGAGGACUCGGGUUCCAUCCCUGGCCUCACUCAGUGAGUUAAAGGAUCCGGUGUUGCCCUGACCUGUGGUGUAGGUUGCAAAUGAGGCUGGGAUCUGGCGUUGCAUAUGGGAACUUCCAUAUGCCAUGGGUGUGGCCCUUCAAGAAAAAGUCUCAGUUUUAGUAAGUGUCCAGCUUAGGCCAAAACAGGAAAGGAGUUUGGAGCCGCCUAUUAUAAACAUGACUUGACAUUGGGUUGUAUGGUACUUGCAGAAAGGGUCACCAUGAGCUAGACAGCUACUCUAGAAGAUUUUAAAGACUUUUCUGCAAUCUCCAUCUUCCCCCUCCACCCAAAAAAAGAGUAAAUAAAUUAAAUGUAUGCCUCUCAGGACUUCGGAGAACAUUCAAAUUAGGUCUUUUCUUUCUUUUUGUUUCCAUCUCCUACCUCUAAUGAACUGUCAUUUAAAAAAAAAAUCUUUUAAAAAAUUAUAUUUAUUGAAUGCUGGUUACAUAAUAGAUGGCAAAUGAGUAAAAGCUAUCAAGUUUUAUGUUUCUAUUCUUAGAAAAUGUUCUCCUGUCUUCCUUUUAAAUUAUUUCUCUUUCUCUUUGCAAAACAAAAUUAAGUUGCUGUUUAGGCAGUUUGGUGUGCUGGAAAGGGAACUAAAUAGCACCAAAGGCCUCCAUUCUGGUUCCAAUUUCAAACCAUUUAUUUGCUGGGUAAUCUUGAGCAAAUUAUGACCUCUCUCAGUUUGUUUCCUCAGUAGUAAAAUGGAGAUCAUAAUAACAGCUCUUUUGAGCACAGUGUUAUUGUGAAGAUAAAAUGAAAGAAUAUAUACAAUCAUAUAAUAGUUCUUUUUCUGCUAAGGAAAGAUUUCUGACCCCUAUUCUAAGUAGAAAAGUUACUAUUUUUAAAUGCUUAUUUUUAGUAACUGCCACUGCCAUUUUUCUCUAAGAAAUAAGGUUUCCCUGAAAGCAUUUUUGCAGUAUUCAGGCUAGUAAAUGGUGACUUCUUUUAAAGGCAAACACUGUCUUGGGGGGAGAUUUCAUAGCACCCAAUAUCUAAUGACUUUCUUGGAUACUCUGGAGAUACAGCUGGACUGUCCUGAUGGAAAGUGAAAACUAGCUUGACCUAGAAAAGUAAGAUCAAGCACAAUGAUCCCAGAGUUGUUCUCUUUGCACCUUCAGCCUACCUUGAAGGAGUCACUGUCAAAGAAGUGGUUAUCUCUAACAUAGCAUCUUUAUUGGUUGCCUCUACCCUGGGAAUUUGUAGCUUCCUUUGAAUGAUUUUGCAUAGCUGUAAAAUGUUUAGGAUGCAAAGAAAUGAAUUUCGGUUCAGUACAGAUAUGUUAAACAAAAUAGUGACUUUUAUUGGAAAUAAGGCAGAAAAGGAACACUAAAAUGGAAAUCAGAGAAAAAUUUUAAAAGAUAUGAGACAGAGAAGCAAUUAGAAAUCUGAGAAAUAGAAACAGCUGGCUUAUAAAGAUUGUAGGAAUGAUUACUUUAUUGAAAAUUUAUAUUACUGAAUAACAUUUUGUGGGUAAAUAAAACAAACUGUUUAAAAAAAGGAGAAGGUGGGAGUUACCAUUGUGGCUCAGUGGUAAGGAACCCAACUAGUAUCCAUGGGGAUGCACAUUCGAUCCCUGGCCUCGCUCAGUGGGUUAAGGACCUGGCGUCACAGUGAGCUGUGGUGUAGGUCACAGAUGUGGCUCAGAUCUGGUGUUGCUGUGGCUGUGGCGUAGGCCAGCAGCUGCAGCUCAGAUUCGACCCCUAGCCUGGGAAUUUACAUGUGCCAUGGGUGUGGCCCUAAAAAGACAAAAAAAUGAAUAAAAAAAAUAUUAAAUGGGAGGAGAGUUUCCUGGUGGCCUAGUGGUUAAGGAUUUGAUAUUGUUACUGCUAUGGCUCAGUUUUGAUCCUGGGAACUUUUGUGUGCAGCCAAUAAAAUAAGAGACGAGGAGUUCCUGCUAUGGAGCAUUGGAUUGAUUCUCAUGCUGCAGUGGCUUGGGUUGCUGCAGUGGUGUGGGUUUGAUCCCUGGUCUGGAGCAGUAGGUUAAAGGAUCCUACAGUGUAUAUUGCAGCUGCGGCUCAGAUUUAGUCCCUGGCCCAGAAACUUCCAUAUGCUGCAGGUUUGCUGCAUUUUAUGCAGCCAUAAAAUUUUUUUAAAAGUGGGGUGGGAAGAGGGGAAGGAUAUGAUCCAGUAAUAACUUAAAAGCCAAUACAGGUGAUUAUCAAUAAAUGUUCAAACAUGGCAUAGAAUUUCAGCUACUGUCUUUGGGAGAUAGUUUAUUAGUACUCAAACCGUGGAACUAUUUAGCUUACCAUCUUAGAGUGUAUGGUAAUAAAUAAAGAUUGAGCAAAGCAGUAUUCCUGCCACCAAUCUUGGUAUAUAGCCAGUGAGGAUUAUAUAAAGAAAAGUGAAUUUUUUUGUAUGAAAUCAGCCUGUCUUGUGCUUUACACUUUGACAGUAUCUGUUCCAUAACUGUGUCAUUGUCCACAUUUGCUGUUCUUUUUCUCUUGCUGCAUGUCAAACUUGAAAACUAGUUUAAUCUCUAACUCUGUUUUGUUAAUCUCCAAUCCCUUGAUUCCAUAACUCAAUGCUUCUCCCUAGAUUAAUUUGAAUAGCACCCACGUUCCACUUGCAAUAUAUAUGUAUGCAUAUGUACAAAAAUGUGUAGAUAAGGGAACAGAUAAUUUCUUUGUGCUUUUUAGGAGGAUAGUUUAAUUAUAAAGUUUUUGUUUCCUAUUUGUAAUAUUAUGAAUUGCUUGUAUAAACUGCUAAAUGAUAAAGGACAGAGUGAGCUUUCCAAAUAAUAUCCUCACUCAGUGGGUUGUGUGUGUGUUUAAAUCCUGAUUCUGACAGGUUUCAUAGGAGCAGGCUUUCUGAAUAGCCAUUUUAAAAAUUAAGUGAAAACUCAUUAGGGGCAAAUUACACACAAUGAUUUUAAGCCCCAGGAGACUGACUCUAUAUACAUAUUGAAUAGUCAUUUGUUCUUAGAUUAUUGUAUAAAUAUAGCCAAUUAAGUUCAUU